rnacentral:rRNA from 1 species
CAUACGGCUCAGUAACACGUAGUUAAUCUGCCCUUGGGACGGGAAUACUCCUGGGAAACUGGGACUAAUUCCCGAUAGGCGCAGUGGCCUGGAAUGGUACUGCACUCAAAAGACUUUAAGAACAUGCUCUUAGAGUUGCCCAAGGAUGAGACUGCGGCCGAUCAGGUUGUUGGUGGGGUAAAGGCCUACCAAGCCUAUAACCGGUACGGGCCCUGAGAGGGGGAGCCCGGAGAUGGGAACUGAGACAAGGUCCCAGGCCCUACGGGGCGCAGCAGGCGCGAAAACUCCGCAAUGCGCGAACGCGUGACGGGGUUAACCCGAGUGCCGUCCGAUGAGGAUGGCUUUUCUUCAGUUUAAGGAUCUGGAGGAAUAAAGGGGGGGCAAGACUGGUGUCAGCCGCCGCGGUAAUACCAGCCCCCUGAGUGGUAGGGACGAUUAUUUGGCCUAAAGCGUCCGUAGCUGGCUUAGGAAGUCUUUCGUCAAAUCCGGCGAUUUAAUCGUUGGACCGCGGAAGAUACUGCUAGGCUUGAGGACGGGAGAGGUCGACGGUAGUCCCUGGGUAGGGGUGAAAUCCUAUAUUCCCUGGAGGACCUCCAGUGGCGAAGGCGGUCUACUAGAACGUGCCUGACAGUGAUGAAUCAAAUCU